rnacentral:lncRNA from 1 species
AUGUUGUCAAAUGAUGUGUUUUUUUCCUUGUAUGUGUGUGUGUGUGUGUGUGUGAGAGAGAGAGAGAGAGAGAGAGAGAGAGAGAGAGAGAGAGAGAGAGAGAGAGAGAGAGAGAGAGAGAGAGAGAGAGAGAGAGAGAGAGAGAGAGAGACAGAAAGAGAGAAAGAGAGAGAGAAUUGAACAUGGGCCAGACCCAUCUUUGCCUAUCUGUCUUCUUGUCCCUAAGAGGUCCUUGGCCAAAUAGUGAGUCCAUGACUAAAGAAUGGAAAGUUUUCUCUAAUAUUGUAUCCUAAAACAGUAUUCUAAUACUCCUUCUGAGACCCAGUCUUCCUUGAGGUUGUAAGGACUUACUGCUACUCCACAUCAUCAUUUUUAUAUUGGGUCAUUUUUCUGUGACUCUGACUCUGGUGUGGUAGCAGGAGCAUUACACACACACACACACACACACAAAUAUACACACACAUACACACUGGGAGCAAAACCCUAUUAACUAAGAGUAAACUCUAGAAUCAAUAAUCUCCAAAAAAGCAUGGUUUAAAAGACAUACAUUUUGGGAUAUGGAUAAUCAUUUAUAUAUGCACAUAUAUAUUACAUCUAUACACACAUGCACACAUAAAUAAGUGGCAGAAAAAGAGGGAGAGAGAGAGAGAGAGAAGAGAGAAACAGACAGAAAAGAAAGAGAAACAGAGACAAAGACUGAGAGAUAGAGACACAGAAAGGUACUUGUAGAUAAAGCUUCCAUUCCUAAUUUUGGUGUUUGUCUCCUUCCAUUAGAAGAGAAUAGUUGAGAUGAAUAGGGUACUUGAACCUUGGAGGAUUUAUUGAUUCUAUUGCUCUAUGUAAAAUACUCUUACAAUCAAAACUUCAAAAAUUCUUCCUUAAUUUCUAAAUAAGGUCAUACAGGAUGGAGAAAAAGAACAAAAGGAAAAAGUGCUACCAACACUGGAGAAUUCCUUUUGGAACAGGGAGGUAUUCCCUUGAUUCUUAACCUUGAUCUGACUCCCUAGAGUUAAAAGGAAUUCCCAGAGCAUCUGCCCUCUGUACAAGUGAGAUCAUUCUCAAUAUUUGAUCAAAACUGAAUGUUGGCUAUAUUACUUCAUUUUCUUUAGCUUUCUUGGGAUGGAACAAGUGCUUGUGCAAUGAGAAGGAUGGACAGGGUUAAAUGCUAUAACAUGGUACU